UUUGAUCCUGGCUCAGGACGAACGCUGGCGGCGUGCCUAAUACAUGCAAGUCGAGCGGACAGAUGGGAGCUUGCUCCCUGAUGUUAGCGGCGGACGGGUGAGUAACACGUGGGUAACCUGCCUGUAAGACUGGGAUAACUCCGGGAAACCGGGGCUAAUACCGGAUGGUUGUUUGGACCGCAUGGUUCAAACAUAAAAGGUGGCUUCGGCUACCACUUACAGAUGGACCCGCGGCGCAUUAGCUAGUUGGUGAGGUAACGGCUCACCAAGGCAACGAUGCGUAGCCGACCUGAGAGGGUGAUCGGCCACACUGGGACUGAGACACGGCCCAGACUCCUACGGGAGGCAGCAGUAGGGAAUCUUCCGCAAUGGACGAAAGUCUGACGGAGCAACGCCGCGUGAGUGAUGAAGGUUUUCGGAUCGUAAAGCUCUGUUGUUAGGGAAGAACAAGUACCGUUCGAAUAGGGCGGUACCUUGACGGUACCUAACCAGAAAGCCACGGCUAACUACGUGCCAGCAGCCGCGGUAAUACGUAGGUGGCAAGCGUUGUCCGGAAUUAUUGGGCGUAAAGGGCUCGCAGGCGGUUUCUUAAGUCUGAUGUGAAAGCCCCCGGCUCAACCGGGGAGGGUCAUUGGAAACUGGGGAACUUGAGUGCAGAAGAGGAGAGUGGAAUUCCACGUGUAGCGGUGAAAUGCGUAGAGAUGUGGAGGAACACCAGUGGCGAAGGCGACUCUCUGGUCUGUAACUGACGCUGAGGAGCGAAAGCGUGGGGAGCGAACAGGAUUAGAUACCCUGGUAGUCCACGCCGUAAACGAUGAGUGCUAAGUGUUAGGGGGUUUCCGCCCCUUAGUGCUGCAGCUAACGCAUUAAGCACUCCGCCUGGGGAGUACGGUCGCAAGACUGAAACUCAAAGGAAUUGACGGGGGCCCGCACAAGCGGUGGAGCAUGUGGUUUAAUUCGAAGCAACGCGAAGAACCUUACCAGGUCUUGACAUCCUCUGACAAUCCUAGAGAUAGGACGUCCCCUUCGGGGGCAGAGUGACAGGUGGUGCAUGGUUGUCGUCAGCUCGUGUCGUGAGAUGUUGGGUUAAGUCCCGCAACGAGCGCAACCCUUGAUCUUAGUUGCCAGCAUUCAGUUGGGCACUCUAAGGUGACUGCCGGUGACAAACCGGAGGAAGGUGGGGAUGACGUCAAAUCAUCAUGCCCCUUAUGACCUGGGCUACACACGUGCUACAAUGGACAGAACAAAGGGCAGCGAAACCGCGAGGUUAAGCCAAUCCCACAAAU
rnacentral:rRNA from 1 species